GCCUAGUUAGCUUAGUUGUGGUAGUGCGUCUGCCUUGUAAGCGCUAGGCCGCGGGUUCGAUUCCCGCCCGGGGCG
rnacentral:tRNA from 1 species